rnacentral:rRNA from 1 species
GUGCCAGCAGCCGCGGUAAUUCCAGCUCCAAUAGCGUAUAUUAAAGUUGUUGUGGUUAAAAAGCUCGUAGUUGAACCUUGGGCCUGGCUGGCCGGUCCGCCUCACCGCGUGCACUGGUCCGGCCGGGCCUUUCCCUCUGUGGAACCCCAUACCCUUCACUGGGCGUGGCGGGGAAACAGGACAUUUACUUUGAAAAAAUUAGAGUGCUCCAGGCAGGCCUAUGCUCGAAUACAUUAGCAUGGAAUAAUAAAAUAGGACGCGCGGUUCUAUUUUGUUGGUUUAUAGGACCGCCGUAAUGAUUAAUAGGGACAGUCGGGGGCAUCAGUAUUCAACUGUCAGAGGUGAAAUUCUUGGAUCAGUUGAAGACUAACUACUGCGAAAGCAUUUGCCAAGGAUGUUUUCAUUAAUCGGGAACGAAAGUUAGGGGAUCGAAGACGAUCAGAUACCGUCGUAGUCUUAACCAUAAACUAUGCCGACUAGGGAUCGGACGGUGUUAUUCAUGACCCGUUCGGCACCUUACGAGAAAUCAAAGUGCUUGGGCUCCAGGGGGAGUAUGGUCGCAAGGCUGAAACUUAAAGAAAUUGACGGAAGGGCACCACCAGGGGUGGAGCCUGCGGCUUAAUUUGACUCAACACGGGGAAACCCACCAGGUCCAGACACAAUAAGGAUUGACAGAUUGAGAGCUCUUUCUUGAUUUUGUGGGUGGUGGUGCAUGGCCGUUCUUAGUUGGUGGGGGUGACUUGUCUGCUUAAUUGCGAUAACGAACGAGACCUUAACCUGCUAAAUAGCCCGCAUUGCUCCGGCAGUGCGCUUGGCUUCUUAAGAGGGGCUUU